CCUACGGGUGGCAGCAGUGAGGAAUAUUGGUCAAUGGGCGUAAGCCUGAACCAGCCAAGUCGCGUGAGGGAUGACGGUUCUAUGGAUCGUAAACCUCUUUUAUAAGGGAAUAAAGUGCGGGACGUGUCCCGUUUUGUAUGUACCUUAUGAAUAAGGACCGGCUAACUCCGUGCCAGCAGCCGCGGUAAUACGGAGGAUCCGAGCGUUAUCCGGAUUUAUUGGGUUUAAAGGGUGCGUAGGCGGCCUUUUAAGUCAGCGGGGAAAGUCUGUGGCUCAACCAUAGAAUUGCCGUUGAAACUGGGUGGCUUGAGUGUGGUUGAGGUAGGCGGAAUGCGUGGUGGAGAGGUGAAAUGCUUAGAUAUCACGCAGAACCCCGAUGGCGAAGGCAGCCUGCCAAGCCAUGACUGACGCUGAUGCACGAAAGCGUGGGGAUCGAACAGGAUUAGAUACCCGGGUAGUC
rnacentral:rRNA from 1 species